rnacentral:rRNA from 1 species
CGUGCUUAACACAUGCAAGUCGAACGGAAAGGCUCCUUCGGGGGUACUCGAGUGGCGAACGGGUGAGUAACACGUGGGUGAUCUGCCCCUGACUUUGGGAUAAGCCUGGGAAACUGGGUCUAAUACCGGAUAUGACCUGCCCUUGCAUGGGGGUUGGUGGAAAGCUUUUGCGGUCAGGGAUGGGCCCGCGGCCUAUCAGCUUGUUGGUGGGGUAAUGGCCUACCAAGGCGACGACGGGUAGCCGACCUGAGAGGGUGAUCGGCCACACUGGGACUGAGACACGGCCCAGACUCCUACGGGAGGCAGCAGUGGGGAAUAUUGCACAAUGGGCGCAAGCCUGAUGCAGCGACGCCGCGUGAGGGAUNAAGGCUUCGGGUUGUAAACCUCUUUCAGUAGGGAAGAAGCGCAAGUGACGGUACCUACAGA